rnacentral:rRNA from 1 species
GAACGCCCUUUGUCUCGCAAAAGAGGGAGGGAGUGGCGGACGGGUGAGUAACACAUGGGUGACCUACCCCGCAGUGAGGAAUACCGGCGAGAAAUCGCCGACAAGACCGCAUAGGCUCUUGUGGCUCGAGCCACGAGAGCAAAGUCUCGUAAGAGACGCUGAGGGAUGGGCCUGUGGCCGAUUAGCUAGUUGGGGGGGUAAGAGCCUCCCAAGGCCACGAUCGGUAGCUGGUCUGAGAGGACGAACAGCCACACUGGGAUUGAGAACGGCCCAGACUCCUACGGGGGGCAGCAGUGAGGAAUUUUCCGCAAUGGGGGCAACCCUGACGGAGCAACGCCGCGUGCAGGAAGACGCUUUUCGGAGUGUAAACUGCUUUUCUGUGGGACGAGCGUGGACGGUACCACAGGAAGAAGCCCCGGCUAACUACGUG